GCCGGGCAUAGUGGCGCAUGCCUGUAAUCCAGCUGCUUGGAGGCUAGAGAUGUUGAAUGGCUUGAGGUGUGGAUCCCUGGUGGCGGUCGUGCUAUGUCGAUCUGGUGUCCGCGCUAAGGCGGGCGUUAAUAUGGUGCCUAGAGAGGAGUCUCGAGUCACCAGGUUGGUUAAAGAGGAGCGUACCGGCCCAGGGUGGAAACACAGCAAGGAAAAAGCUCCCGCGUUCUGACAGUAGUGGGAUAGCAUCUGUGAAUAGGAAGCCGUCAACAGCCAUGCCAAGAUGGUCGAACUCAUCUCUUU
rnacentral:SRP_RNA from 1 species